AAAGGUCUCAAGGUUCAAGAUGGCAGUUUAAGACCACUAAUUUACUUUGCAACAAAUAUAGGGUGUGCGGCUGGACUGGGGCCUCCUGACCAAGGGAAGGAUCUACAAGGGCAGGACAACAGGCAAGGUCGUCUACCAUUGUGGUGUGCAGUGAGGAAGCCGAAAGCUGAUAGAGCAAAACAUGUUUUCCCUUUUUGCAAGACAUCUGUAGGAACUGUUUGAAUCAAUUAUUGGAAAACAUGAAAAUAAA